rnacentral:rRNA from 1 species
UGGUGAGGUAAUGGCUCACCAAGGCGACGAUCCCUAGCUGGUUUGAGAGGAUGAUCAGCCACACUGGAACUGAGACACGGUCCAGACUCCUACGGGAGGCAGCAGUGGGGAAUAUUGCACAAUGGGCGCAAGCCUGAUGCAGCCAUGCCGCGUGUGUGAAGAAGGCCUUCGGGUUGUAAAGCACUUUCAGUUGUGAGGAAAGGUUAGUAGUUAAUACCUGCUAGCUGUGACGUUAGCAACAGAAGAAGCACCGGCUAACUCCGUGCCAGCAGCCGCGGUAAUACGGAGGGUGCGAGCGUUAAUCGGAAUUACUGGGCGUAAAGCGUACGCAGGCGGUUUGUUAAGCGAGAUGUGAAAGCCCCGGGCUCAACCUGGGAACUGCAUUUCGAACUGGCAAACUAGAGUGUGAUAGAGGGUGGUAGAAUUUCAGGUGUAGCGGUGAAAUGCGUAGAGAUCUGAAGG